UUCCGACUUUACUGUUUUUGGACCACUCUAAUGUACAUAUGAGUAACGCUGUUUAGAAUUGGAUAAGGGCAAUCCGUGAACAAAAAAAACACAAAUUUGUGAUCCAGUGUAAUUGAAGCGCGUGGCAAUAGUAUUGACUCGAUAUCGAUAACCCUAUUUGGUGCCGACAUACAUGUGCACAUAAUUAUGUACAUCAUACCGACAAAUUAUAUAUCAAUGGCGACUCCCAAAAAUAUACGUAUAUACAUAUAAAGUUAUCAUAAAAAAAAUCUAUAACACCAUUAAAUACUAUAUCGACAGCAAUAUCGAUCUUUAUAUGCAUCGAUCAUGAUUUUCUAAAGUAUAUGUGUCUAUAGUGUUCGAUAAAUACGCCUACAAAAAUAUCGAUAAUUGAUAAGUCGAUUACAUAUCAAUCAUUAACUACAUAUAUCGAACACUUAUUCGAAUAUUUGAUUAUUUAUUUUACAAAAUACACUUCUAAUGCUAAACACUCCGUCCAUUUCACGGUUUUUAACGUGUCUAGCUUAUUGUGCAUGCCUAUAGCUCAAUAUUUAAUUUUAAAUUUACCUAUAUUUAUAUUUUAUUGUCGUCUCCCCCUUUCUUUUCUUUUGCAUGAACAUUUAUCUGUCCGCACAAAUUCAAUCACAAUGGUUAUUAUUUCAAAUGUCACCGCCAACAUGAACCUCCACAAAAUGAAAAACAAAACGGACGCGUAUGCUGCUGAUGACAAUCCCGAUGACAAUACAAUAACGCGCACAUGAAUGGAAUAUUUUUAUUAAACGCCAAAAUAAACACAUCACCCACACAAACACGCAUACGCUAUGGCAUUCAUGCACAAACAUAGGCAAACUGGCAGCAACACAAUGGCGCACACGCUUUGGCCGCCCCUCACAAGUGCCACGCCUUGGCGAUGUUGAUCCCACAGGUCGAUUUUGUGCCUUCCCCGAGGAAUGGCUCAAACAAAGAGCGGCGGCUAAAGCGCCACCGCCCACCAUGGCAGAUUUGCGUCGAAUCUUCGUAGUGAAUGCUGUGCCAUUCAUCGCUUUUGGCUUUCUGGACAACUUUGUGAUGAUAGUUGCGGUAAAAAUUUUAGGGAUAUACAUACGCUUAAAAAUCACAACAAUGAAUCUUAAACCGAAUUUUCGAAAUUUCUGCGAAAAAUAUAGUGCUUAACAUAAUUAUAGGACAUCCACUUAAUUAUUGACAAGUUUAAACUAUUUAU